rnacentral:lncRNA from 1 species
UGGCUGUUGUUUCUAAGAGUUGAGUUGAGAAAAAGAGAAGGAGAAGUUUACUUGUGAGAAGGAGAGUGUUAGCUUUGCUUUGGUGUUUAAGGCGAGAGAAGCAGAUUCGUCACAUCUUGGUAAAAUAGAGUUCCGACGUAUCAAAUCUUAUCGAAAGGUAAUGAAUUUUGGUAAGUUUGUUCUUAAGGCGUGUACGUUGAUUCUCCUUUUUACGGAAGUGAAUUCGGAUUAAUACUCAGUGAGUUAUAUGCAGUUUGGUGAGACGCGUUUUCUAUGUUGCGAACUGGGAUCAGCGGAGUUUGUAAGUACGAUCGUAGUUUCAUCGUUUCUCCGAUCGGCACCAAAUUUUGUGGGGGGCUUUGUGACGUCUGGAUCUUGCUUUUCACCGUAGGGAUUAAGAAGUUAACGGUUAGUUUAUGCUUUAGGGCUUCGUUUCUGCGGUUGUAGUUUUUUUGCUGUUUCUGUCUUUUUGGUUUUUAGAGAUUUUUGUUUGUGUGGUUUGUUGUAGGGCGUUGUUUGGAUGUUGCAGUCGCGAGGAGAGUCUUUCCUGGUUGUUUUUGUAGUUCAAAUCACCUUGUUAAGGUGAGUGCGUGACCAUGAGCUUAUCUAAGCGAUUGGAUUGAGUGAUUUGUUGUGUGAUGAUUUGUAGGUAACUGGAUGUGUUAUUGGAUGUUUAGCUUGCUGGAUGGUUUGUUUUUGUCAUAUAUGUGGGUGUUAUCUCAUUGCUUGUGUAUAUAGCUCGUAGAUGGGAGGAUCGCCCUCACUAAGUAUUUAUGAAAUACUUACGCAUCUCUUUCUUUGAUGUAGGUAAAAGCAAAGUGUGAUCCGUGAAAUCAUGGCGAGGAGAGGAGGAUGAUCUAGGCACUCAUUGGUGUUUUAGAUUAUUGUUGGAUUUGUUAGGGUGUUAGAAUGGAAUUUAGAAACAUGUUAGGAUGACCAUGU